rnacentral:misc_RNA from 1 species
AACGCACCUUGCGCUCCUUGGUAUUCCGAGGAGCAUGCCUGUUUGAGUGUCAUUAAUAUAUCAACCUCUUCAGGUUUUUUACCUGUUGAGUGUUUGGAUGUGGAGGGGGUCUUUUGCUGGUCUCUUUUGAGGCCGGCUCCCCUAAAAUGCAUUAGCAGAACAAUUUGUUGACCCGUUCAUUGGUGUGAUAACUAUCUACGCUUUUGACGUGAAACAGGUUCAGCUUCUAAUAGUCCAUUGACUUGGACAAUUCCUCAUUAAUGUGACCUCAAAUCAGGUAGGACUACCCGCUGAACUUAA